ACCGUUCAGGGGUAAACCUGAGAAACCCGAAAGAUCGAAUGGGGGGAUUCAUCGUCAGCGCAUUCAGUAUAUGUGCAGAGUGCGAUGUAGUUUAUCCUUGUGGUAAAUUUGCACGCUUCUGUGUCAUUUAAUUGCUGGAUGUUGUCGGCGUGCACUUCUCCCCUAGUAGGACGUCGCGACCCGUUGGGUGCCGGUUUACGACCCGGUAGGUAGACUUUGACGUCAUCGCAAGGUGUUAUGUUGAAGACCUCUGGAGUAUUCUGGCCGGCUGCCCGGCGGUACUCGUAUGGUAUUGAGCCGCAAUUGAUAUGCGUCGAACCCGUCGCAAGUAAGAUUGAUCUUUAGUAGUUACGGACUUAGUUGCCGUCGCUGGGAUCAAUCAGCUGUUUGUCGUACGGUGUUUUAUGACUGGCUCAUCGAAUAUAUUUUAAAUACCGGUCGGCGGCGCUACUGCUUUGGGUACUUUCAGGA
rnacentral:rRNA from 1 species